AAUAACCGAAAAUAAUGUUGGGGCUAAGAGUCAAAUUUGUGAUUUUUCUAACAUCUCCUCCACCUGGAGCCCAGGUAUCGUAUAUACCGCCGAAAAACAAAGCUUUAAAUACGAGAAGAAAAGCGCCAGCCCCCAGUAGAAUGAGGUGAAUACCCAAAAUGGUGGUCAUUUUAUUCCUAUCUUUCCA
rnacentral:antisense_RNA from 15 species